rnacentral:rRNA from 1 species
GACGAACGCUGGCGGCGUGCUUAACACAUGCAAGUCGAACGAUGAACCCGGAGCUUGCUCCGGCGGAUUAGUGGCGAACGGGUGAGUAACACGUGAGUAACCUGCCCUUGACUCUGGGAUAACUGCGGGAAACUGUAGCUAAUACCGGAUACGACCCUCGGCGGCAUCGCCAGGGGGUGGAAAGAACUUCGGUCAAGGAUGGACUCGCGGCCUAUCAGCUAGUUGGUGAGGUAACGGCUCACCAAGGCGACGACGGGUAGCCGGCCUGAGAGGGUGACCGGCCACACUGGGACUGAGACACGGCCCAGACUCCUACGGGAGGCAGCAGUGGGGAAUAUUGCACAAUGGGCGCAAGCCUGAUGUAGCAACGCCGCGUGAGGGAUGACGGCCUUCGGGUUGUAAACCUCUUUUAGUAGGGAAGAAGCGAAAGUGACGGUACCUGCAGAAAAAGCACCGGCUAACUACGUGCCAGCCGCCGCGGUAA